AUUUAAAUAUAGUCAAGUGGCUGGUGAAUUUAGACACAGCAAUGUGGAAAACUGUAUAAACCUUUUGAGUUAACUUGUGUUUGUUGGGCUUGUGUUUGUUGUGAAAUGUGGGCUCAGCACAGUGCUAAGUGCUGUAGGGAGAUAGAGGCGGAUGAUGUGAUUCCAGCUGCAAGGAACUUAGGACUCUUAUUUGGGAGGCUAUGGUCCUGCUUCAAAGUCUUCCCCACUGGGAGCACCUGGAUAUGAGAGCAGCGGGAAUGCAGAGGGCAGGGUGGUAACUGAAGAGGAUCAUGGGAGAAAGACUGGGGUGCAGUGGAAAGAACACUCCCCUUGUAGUCAGACAGACUUUGUUCUGGGUAACGAAGUGGGGAAGGUGACACGUCACUUCUGGGUUGAGGCAUGGUGACAUCUACAUUCUUCUCCUGCUGCAGUGAUCAGGCACCCCGUGUUUCAGAUGCGUGUGAUACAACAUGAGCCCUGAUUCUGUUCGAAGAAACACCAGCUCACUCUGCCAGUCUGUGGGGUCUGGAUGCAGCUCUGCUCCUGGCUCUAAGGAUGGAGCAUGUGAUCCAAGCUUCUUUGGUCAGCACUCUGGAUAUCCCUCCCAUGGGAACCACUUCAAAGUUGGCCCCCUGGUCAAGCAACUUCCUCAUGACUGGCUUUGGGGACUACUUAAUUCUACUCUGUCUUUGAACUAAAAUGAUUGGGCAGGGCUGACUUCAUUUUCAGAUUCAUUAGACAAUACCCAGUUCCUGAUUGUCACCUGGUAUCCUACAUUCAGAUAUUUUCUGGUCACCAGCUUUGGGGCUGUUGGACCUGCUCUCCCCUAGCUGGGGCAGUGGGUAUGCACCCAAGCCAGGACAAUUGGACUCUCUCCCUCUGGACUUUGAUUCUUGGGUAGCAUGCUACAAAGGCAGAAAAGGCAGAUGUGGUUCUUUGCUAAGCUGUGGUGCCUUUACCAGACUGUUGAGCAGUAUCUGCUGCACGGACCCUGGCCUGACUGUUUUUGUCCAAGCCUGGUUCUCCAGCCUUCCUAUCAGUUCUGUGGCCACUGUCAUUCCAAUAUAUUCCUUUGCUGCUAAAUUCAUCAAGAGUUGGUUCCUGUGGUUUGUAACCCCAAGACCACCAGGUCAUUCACCCUUGCUUUUUCCAGGUAACUGCUCAUUCCCUUCACACAUGCCCUUGAUUUAAGUUUUAGUUAUAUUUCAUUUACAUAGCACUACUGGAUGAAAGGGUGAGAACAUAAAAUUUUCUUGGGAUGACUCUGUCUGCAAUCCUAGAGAGAGCAGUUGAGAACUGCCUGACUUUGUGAAUAGUACAUUAUCUUAGGGUUGUGGUAGCUAUUUAUGAGGGAGGGCAGGGACUUGUUUUGUUCACAGCUUUGUCCCCAAAGUCUAGCCUAGUGUCUGGAAUAUAUCAGUGUGUUCAGUAUACAUACAGUGAUGUUAUUCUCCCUUUGUCUUGUCACAGUAGGUUCAUUCAUUCAUUUAAUAAAUGUUUAUCAUUCCCAUUGGAAUGGAUGGUGAGCAAUACAAAUAUGGCACUUAC